AAGAAGCCAGCUGCAUUCAAUUGAUCAAAUAGCACCCAAUUAAAUGUCUUGUAAAGGGAGGUUGGAUGAGCUUAAUAUGCAGCCAAAAAAAGUGAUCCAUAAUUGCUUAUGUGACCUCAGAAACAGAAGCUGAGACAAAAGAAUGACAACAGCACAAUGGACUGUGGCAAUCAAUAGAAAAAAUAGAACAAAACUAUAAUGGGGAUGCUAUAAAAACAAAAAAUAACUAAAAUCAUUGUUCAUAUAUUUUUUUUGAUGUAGAUUCUUACCAUCUGGUACAGGUAAAGGACGGCAUGAGGAGGCUGCAGGUCCGACAGCUUGCGAUGGAGAUGGUGGAACUUUUUUUUCCUGAUGGUCAUUUCAGCAAGGUGUCCUGUAAAGUUUAAAACUGGCAGUGCUGGCAGUACAAAGAUACUUAUCUGUAUGCCACACUGUACAGAUUGCAGCACAUGGACAGGAAGAUAAUGGGCCGUUCUGGGUAAGAGAAACGCUGGGAAUCCAACAGGAAGGUCAAGACCGUCAGAGUGGUCGACAGGAAGCACAGCACGGCCCACACUGCCAUCCAUGCGUCUGUGAAGACUUUGGCCCCUCGUCGGUAGAGCCCGCUGUCGUAGCCGCACUGGAGAGUACAGCUUUCAGUCUGUUUCAGCCAGGUAUACUGGUCAGGUGCAGAUCCCAGGGCCUGACACUCCUCCUGGUGGGGGGGGUGGCGGACUGGCUGGUAAGGUGGGUCCUCGUCGCCUGGACCCUCCAUACACAUGUGGUUGUGGUCAUUUUGAGGUGGGAAAAGGCUACAGUUGAGCACCUAGAGAAAAUACGAUGGGAAAUGGCAUUCUGGUUGCUUAUUAAGGCUAUGAUUUUGAGCUAAUGUUCAUCAAUUUUGUAUGAUUUAAAAAAUGUCCCAAAAGAAAGCAUUUUGUCUUUA